rnacentral:tRNA from 1 species
GAGGGUAUAGCUCGAGUGGUAGAGCGCAUGCUUAACAUGCAUGAAGUCUUGGGUUCAAUACCCAGUACCAUCU